GAACAACACCCCCCCUAGAAACGUAUAGGAAGCUUUCUCCUCGUACGGCUCGAGAAAAAUGAUUGAUUCGAGGUUUUAUCUCUGUAUGGAAUUCUGUCUAAGAAAUGACAACUGGGUCCAUAAAAUGAUCAAAUCAAUUAAAGAUGUAAGUCUUUUUUUUCUUCUUUCUUCCUGAAAAUGAAAAGAAACCACUUGUACUCUCAUAA
rnacentral:lncRNA from 1 species